GAAUGCUCACCUUAGACUCUUUACGGUGGGUAGCUUGAUGUUGUUGAGGUACCAAAGUCUGAAUGCUCUCGAAUAUUGUUGAUCGAGUCAAUGGAUGUUUCCUGGUUGCUCUUAUGGUGAGUAUCAGGUGGUUCUCUUCGACGGUGAUGUCGCCAACACAGCAGAUGCAGCUUGCGGAUCCCACGGCAUGACUCAGAUGCUGACGAUGAACCGGACUACCUGUUGUAAUUUGAACACCUAAAAAAGGUUCUUGGACCCGCUGCAACGCGUGUUCUACAACAACAAUACCGGGCGCGAGGCACUGGUGAAGAAGUGCGCAGAUGAGCACAUGCAGCAGUGCAAGGUGCUCCG